UACCAUCCCCCCGAGUGGUCGGGACGUUUAUUGGGCCUAAAGCGUCCGUAGCCGGUUCUACAAGUCUUCCGUUAAAUCCACCUGCUUAACAGAUGGGCUGCGGAAGAUACUAUAGAGCUAGGAGGCGGGAGAGGCAAGCGGUACUCGAUGGGUAGGGGUAAAAUCCGUUGAUCCAUUGAAGACCACCAGUGGCGAAGGCGGCGUGCCAGAACGCGCUCGACGGUGAGGGAUGAAAGCUGGGGGAGCAAACCGG
rnacentral:rRNA from 1 species